GACAGAGGGUGCAAACGUUGUUCGGAAUUACUGGGCGUAAAGCGUGUGUAGGCGGCCUUGCAAGUCGGAUGUGAAAGCCCUGGGCUCAACCCAGGAAGUGCACUCGAUACGGGCAGACUAGAGUGCGGUAGGGGAGAUUGGAAUUCCUGGUGUAGCGGUGGAAUGCGCAGAUAUCAGGAAGAACACCCGUGGCUAAGGCGGCUCUCUAGUACGGUACUGACGCUGAGACGCGAAAGCGUGGGGAGCGAACAGG
rnacentral:rRNA from 1 species